rnacentral:lncRNA from 1 species
AGAUGGACUCUCACCUCUCAGCGCGUGGUGCAUGCCGCCCACGCCGCUGUAUAGCUCCAGCACCCGCAGGGGCUCCAUCCCCGCGCCUCAGCCGCCGCAGCCCCGGAGCUAGGCCUGCCGGUCCGUCGCUCCUCCUCCCUCCAUCGCGCCGCUCCCUCAGCCUCUGGUUCCGCGGCGUUUCAGUUCCCCCGUCUCCUACCGCUCCAGGCUCAGGGCUUCAGAGGGCCUCGCGGCCUGGGGAUUGGCAAGGGUCUAGAGGGGAACAAAGGACGGAAAACAAUAAGGCUUCCCGAAUGAAUGGCAGCCACUCUGUAGCCUGAUUUACGCUCCAUUUCCUUCUUUGGUGUCAGGGGCCUUGAUUGGAAAAGAAAUCCAGAGUUCAGUAAAGGGGAGAAAACUGCCUUGGUUUCCAAGUGAAUUAACACUGGUUAGAAGCCAGAAAAAAAUCAUUUUUCAGACAAGCUGCUUUUCUGUCACUUAGAAGCCUGAACAUUCAAACAUUCUUUCCACAGUGUGCCUUGUUUCCUGCCUGCCCUGGGUCAAUAGAGAGAAAUUAGACCAGCCUCUCCCCUAGAGAAGAUUCCAGAAUUAUAAGUAAGGACACAAGUCCACUCGCAGCAGAGAAAGCCCUGUGUGCGUGCUGAUAAUACAGAGGAUGUUUGUUGUGUCUAUUAGUGGGGUUAAUUAUGUUUUAGCUUGGAAAUUACACCUACAUAGAAUACACAGUGAAUAUCAUGUAGGAUUAUUUAUGGGUCUUUAAGUGCUAUGGCCUUGAUUCCUCAGGAUGAUCCAGUAACCAACUGUUAGAGGCUCAUGUUGACGAAAAAAGCCAAACUCCGUAAAAUGUUUGAAGAGGUUUAUUCUGAGCACAAGGUGAGGACCGUGACCCAUGACACAACCCCACAGGGUCCUGACAACAUGUACCCAAGGUGGUUGGGCUACAGCUUGGGAUUAUAUGGUUUUAGGGAGACAUAAGGACAUUAACUGGUAUAUGGAAGGUGUACUUAGUUUGGUCCAUAAAGAUGGGACAACUCAAAAAGGGGAAGGAUUCCAGGUUACAGGUGGAUUCAAAGAUUUUCUGAUUGGCAGUUGGUUGAAAGAGUUAAGUUGUGACCUAAAGACCUGGAAUCAAUAGAAAGGAAUGUGUCUGGGUUAAGAUAAGGUGGAGACCAAGGUUCUUAUUAUGUAGACGAAGUCUCAUACGUAACAGGCUUCAGAGAGAAUAAUUGGCAAAUGUCUCUUAUCAUGUGUAAAAAGAUGCCAGACUCUUAGUUAAAUAUCUCUUGGAUCAGGAAAAGAC